rnacentral:rRNA from 1 species
UGGGGAAUAUUGGUCAAUGGGCGCAAGCCUGAUCCAGCAAUGCCGCGUGUGUGAAGAAGGCCUGCGGGUUGUAAAGCACUUUCAGUGGGGAGGAAGGCCUCGGCGUUAAUAUCGUCGAGGAUUGACGUUACCUACAGAAGAAGCACCGGCUAACUCUGUGCCAGCAGCCGCGGUAAUACAGAGGGUGCAAGCGUUAAUCGGAAUUACUGGGCGUAAAGGGCGCGUAGGUGGUUAAUUAAGUCAGAUGUGAAAUCCCCGGGCUUAACCUGGGAAUUGCAUUUGAAACUGAUUGGCUAGAGUACGGGAGAGGGAAGUGGAAUUUCCGGUGUAGCGGCGAAAUGCGUAGAUAUCGGAAGGAACACCAGUGGCGAAGGCGACUUCCUGGCCCGUUACUGACACUGAGGCGCGAAAGCGUGGGGAGCGAACA